GCUCUGGACAUUUUUUGAUUUUGCAUUUUCUUGUUGGACCAUUGAAUUGGAUCCUUUAAAUAUGUGGAUGUUCUGGGCAAACUGUGGGAAAAUAAGAAGAGAACAUGACGUUAUUCCAAGUUGUACCUUCAAAC